CUGAACGACUCUCGGCAACGGAUAUCUCGGCUCUUGCAUCGAUGAAGAACGUAGCGAAAUGCGAUACUUGGUGUGAAUUGCAGAAUCCCGUGAACCAUCGAGUCUUUGAACGCAAGUUGCGCCUGAAGCCAUUAGGCUGAAGGCACGUCUGCCUGGGCGUCACGC
rnacentral:rRNA from 3 species